CCUUACCAGGUCUUGACAUCCGAUGCUAUUCUAGAGAUAGAAAGUUACUUGGUACAUCGGUGACAGGUGGUGCAUGGUUGUCGUCAGCUCGUGUCGUGAGAUGUUGGGUUAAGUCCCGCAACGAGCGCAACCCCUAUUGUUAGUUGCCAUCAUUCAGUUGGGCACUCUAGCGAGACUGCCGGUAAUAAACCGGAGGAAGGUGGGGAUGACGUCAAAUCAUCAUGCCCCUUAUGACCUGGGCUACACACGUGCUACAAUGGUUGGUACAACGAGUUGCGAGUCGGUGACGGCGAGCUAAUCUCUUAAAGCCAAUCUCAGUUCGGAUUGUAGGCUGCAACUCGCCUACAUGAAGUCGGAAUCGCUAGUAAUCGCGGAUCAGCACGCCGCGGUGAAUACGGUUCCCGGGCCUU
rnacentral:rRNA from 1 species